GUUUUAGGUCAGCUGCAAGUUGUUCGCACUCCUUUGACUUGGUGAGCUUCAGGAUCAGUUGGCUUUAAAGACAAUCAUUGCAGCUCUCAAGCGUUAAGCUAAUGCAGAAGCUAUUUCAUAUUGAUAUAGCUCACUGGCUGAAGACACUCCCAAGAUCAACCGUUUGUAUCUAUUGUGAUCUGGCAUGAUGACGGCGUCAACUCCAGUUGGUGGUAACCCCACUUAAGAUCCAGUUUGCUGAACACCAUGGACCCGUUCAUGCCUUGCAGGAUUUCAUCUACUAUAGGUCCCCUCAGAUUAAACGGUAUCCAAUUUAAGGGCUGCACUACCGGCUGAAUGGAAGGACUGAUGUAAAGACUGAUUUGCUUGGUUUUUAGUUUUCCC